AUGAACGUUGGCGGCGUGCCUAAUACCUGCAAGUCGAGCGAACAGACGAGGAGCUUGCUCCUCUGACGUUAGCGGCGGACGGGUGAGUAACACGUGGAUAACCUACCUAUAAGACUGGGAUAACUUCGGGAAACCGGAGCUAAUACCGGAUAAUAUAUUGAACCGCAUGGUUCAAUAGUGAAAGACGGUUUUGCUGUCACUUAUAGAUGGAUCCGCGCCGCAUUAGCUAGUUGGUAAGGUAACGGCUUACCAAGGCAACGAUGCGUAGCCGACCUGAGAGGGUGAUCGGCCACACUGGAACUGAGACACGGUCCAGACUCCUACGGGAGGCAGCAGUAGGGAAUCUUCCGCAAUGGGCGAAAGCCUGACGGAGCAACGCCGCGUGAGUGAUGAAGGUCUUCGGAUCGUAAAACUCUGUUAUUAGGGAAGAACAAAUGUGUAAGUAACUAUGCACGUCUUGACGGUACCUAAUCAGAAAGCCACGGCUAACUACGUG
rnacentral:rRNA from 1 species